CCUGAUCUUCCUAGUGGUUCAUGGUUUGGAAGCUGACUAUGGUGCCCCUCCUUGUCUCUCUUGUGUGAAAAGGAAUCAACCCUGCCCCUGGGUGAGGCCUGCACCAUGCUGAUGCUCAAGGAAGACAUGAUGGAGAAUUUUAUACAGUCCCUGUAUAUUCCAUAUUCCAUAUUCCAGUAUAGAAACCUCUCAAACAUCUCAAUAAUUACCUGCAUAUACCAGGUGUUCAUCACAGCCCAACAGGUUCUGGGCCAGCAGUUCAACAGCACCUUCUCUCCCAUCUUGGAUACCUGGCCUGAUGAGAAAUUGCAGGAUACCUGCACUAUGCCUGUUUCAAAGUAAAGGAGGCCUGUGUGCAUGCGAAGUUGCAUGACUGGGACCUGAAAUACCAUGCCCUCCUUAUCCUGAUGCUGUGGGAACUUCUGGAGCUCACUGAGGCAGAGGCAGAGGUGCCAGCUCCAUGGCUCCUUCCAGCUGCAGAACCAGAGAAAGGGUCUCCGAUGGAGCUAGAGACACCCCUAGCUCUGUUUCAACCAUCACCUCAAACGUCAGAGCCAACAUCACCUCCAUCAGUUGUUCCCAAUCUGGAACAAGGGAUUACAUAUUCUUUUGCAUGUGUGCCUGGUCCUGAGCUGAAGUCAGUUUGACCACCAGAUUUCCUGAGAAUUGUGACUCCAACCCUAAAACUAGAGAGAGGCAACUCCAGCCCCAGAGGCUACCUGUCACUGGUGGGUAACUCCCAAGAACCAGUUGCAUGAGGAGAAGCCCGGCCUCACGGACUUCCCUCCCAAGUUGGUGGCAGAGAAAUUUACAUCCAUGGAUGCAAUGAGCAGCUGGGUUCUCAGGGCAGGGCUAGGGCAGACUUUUCUUCUGCUAUCCUCUGCCCCAGAUCUGCCUUUCCCUGAUGUGGGCUUGUAUGGCCUGGGUCCAAAUCUCAGUUCCAUCACUUAUCAACCACAUCAACCUGUCCAACUCCUCAAACCCAAGCUUUCACCGUUCAGCUGCAGACUGUGUCCUUGGGUGGGGGAGGGAAAUUCAUGGUGUGUGUCCAAGUCCACGGGUCAGACAUCCAUCUGCCUUGGAGGCCGAGCACCCUCUGCACUUAUUAGGCAACUGAUGUGUGCUUAAGUACAGGAAAGGCAGACAAACCUGUGGUUUAGCUAUCCUGUGAGAAUGUGCAGCUGAAAGGGAAGUAGGACCAGAGGGAUGAACAGUUGGAGGGGAAGAUGCCCCCUUGUGAGGAGCCACCUUGAACUGCUACCUGGAGCUUGAAGUUAGGGAGAAUGAUCAGGAUGCAAAUGCCCUCCUUCCAUCCCCUGCCAGUAUCUUCUGGCUCAUCCUGUACUGGGUUCCCUCAUUGAAGAGGAAUGAAAUGCAAUCCAGGGACUGCAACCGGGCUCAGGCUACAUUCUCAGCUUGCUGAGCUCCAGCUCUGACCUGAGGCCAUUAGUCUUGCCUGUGAAAUGGCUGUGUGAGUGAACAUCCCCCUAUUCUCUAGGAUCUGUUCAGGAAGGUGCUGCCCCAUCAGUGCCUGGGCUCCAUCUGGUCCAAGCAGAAUAAGCCUGGCAAUGAGCAUCUGGCACACACAGUCUGUGCCACCAUCAUCAAGUUCGGUGGUCUGGCCAACUGCAUCAUCACCACCUGCCUUGACAACCCAAGCAUAACAUCCCAGGACAGGUCCAUGGUGGUGGAGCACUGAAUCAAGGUGGCCAAAGCAUGCUAUGGGAGGUCUAGCUAACAUGCUCUCCUGAGCCUGGGGAACUGCUCUUCCCUUUAUCAGUUCUCAAGGUUGAAGUCUCUGGUCUAAGCUCUUCCUUCCAGGGACAUGCUGACCUUUACUUGCAUGGCCCAAUGUUGGGAUGCUCAGUUCCUACCUGGCUCCUUCCUUGAGUGAGGUAAAAUGCCCACUUUCCCUAGCAGUGCUACUCGUUGGGUCUUCCGUGUGCCCUUCUGCAGGUCCCUGGACAUCUGUCUCAUCCAGGAGGGGAGACUGACACUGAGGGUACUGUAGCUCUUGGGAAAAUAGGGCUCUUGCUACCCACCUGACAGCUCAUUAUCUUCCCUUCCCAAGCCUGUCAAAUCCUGUGGAGCUACUCACUGCAUGCCAUCCUCUCUGCUCUGCAGAGUGCCUCAAUUCACUGCCUAAAGAAGACAUGGGCCAAAGUUUCCUGGUGAGUGGGCCUCUUUCCAGAAGGACCAGGACAGAUGAGGGAUCUCCCAUAUGCCUGUCCUUUCUGCACCCCCUCAGUCAGCCUGGACUUCCUGAGAGGCAGCAAACCUUGACUACAGGACAUGGGCAGGCAGGCAAGCAGGUGAUUUUCUCAGCCUUCGUGGGGACCACCAUGCCUCCUGCUUUAGAAAUCAUUUUUCCCAAAUGUGGGAUGCCUGGGUGGCUCAGCAGUUAAGCGUCUGCCUUCAGCCCAGGGUGUGAUCCUGGAGACCUGGGAAU